AGCGAACGCUGGCGGCAUGCCUAACACAUGCAAGUCGAACGAGACCUUCGGGUCUAGGGGCGCACGGGUGCGUAACGCGUGGGAACCUGCCCUUAGGUUCGGAAUAACUCCCCGAAAGGGGUGCUAAUACCGGAUAAUGUCUUCGGACCAAAGAUUUAUCGCCUUUGGAUGGGCCCGCGUUGGAUUAGCUAGUUGGUAGGGUAAAAGCCUACCAAGGCGAUGAUCCAUAGCUGGUCUGAGAGGAGGAUCAGCCACACUGGGACUGAGACACGGCCCAGACUCCUACGGGAGGCAGCAGUGGGGAAUAUUGGACAGUGGGCGAAAGCCUGAUCCAGCACUGCCGCGUGAGUGAUGAAGGCCUUAGGGUUGUAAAGCUCUUUUACCCGGGAUGAUAAUGACAGUACCUGGAGAAUAAGCUCCGGCUAACUCCGUG
rnacentral:rRNA from 1 species